rnacentral:rRNA from 1 species
UUUUACAAUGAAGAGUUUGAUCCUGGCUCAGGAUGAACGCUAGCUACAGGCUUAACACAUGCAAGUCGAGGGGCAGCAUGAACUUAGCUUGCUAAGUUUGAUGGCGACCGGCGCACGGGUGAGUAACGCGUAUCCAACCUUCCGUACACUCAGGAAUAGCCUUUCGAAAGAAAGAUUAAUACCUGAUGGUAUGAUGAGAUUGCAUGAAAUCAUCAUUAAAGAUUCAUCGGUGUACGAUGGGGAUGCGUUCCAUUAGAUAGUAGGCGGGGUAACGGCCCACCUAGUCGACGAUGGAUAGGGGUUCUGAGAGGAAGGUCCCCCACAUUGGAACUGAGACACGGUCCAAACUCCUACGGGAGGC